UACGAUAAUUAUCUGUGGCAGGAGCAAAAUGAACUUCCGCUAUUAUAAUAGAUCGGUUAUACCCACAGCAUUUGGCCUGUUUAAACAAAUGCGAAUUUAGAAUAUGUUUUCCAAACAGAUGCGACGGCAACAUUUGAGGCAAAAACCAUCGGGGAGCUGUUAUAGUACAUCUAUUACAUACGAAAAUACUAAUUGUGUGCAUUUUUGCAUGGAAUGAAAUAUAGGCCAUAGCCAGCAUAAUAGGCUCCAAAUCCAAGCUAUUGGGGCAUAUAAUUUACUAUAUGUUGAAAAUUUAAUGCUUUUCGACCCACGACUGAAAGAGAUUACAGCUUAUUUUGAGCAUUUUCCAUACCCGCAUAGCCGACAGCAAACGUUUGCAAUUGCUCCUCAAACCGCAAAAAGCCCAAUUUUACAGCAGGGUGUUACCGAAAGUCUUUCCUGCUCUUUUUGUUUAAAGAUAUUUGCGAAUAAAGCUGGUUUAAACAGGGGUUUUUUAAUAUAUAAAAUUGCUUUUUGUCUUAAUUCAAUUAUACGAUAACUAACGUACCAACAGACUCAACCUCCCCAGGCACCUAUAUAAAUCUUGCGGCAAAACAUUUGGUCGCAAAAAUACCCUAUAACGUCAUUCAAAUAUCAAAUACCAAAAUGUGGAAACUUUUCGAAUUUAUAGGAAAUUAUAAUUUCCUAGCUGUUUAAGUUGAAGUACAGGCUUUGGGCUUCUGGGUAGCUGAAAAUGGGUUACGUAUUAGGGAAAAUAGUUUUUUUUAAUAGGCUUAGUUUUAAUAAUGCUUAAAAUUACGCACUUCAGCUGAAAUUAUAAUUCAUGUUACAGUUAUACAAUCGCUGUUAUAAUUUAUUUUUAAAAAUAAUUGGACACGACUUGCCUUUCGUCUACAAAAUUUGCUCGUUUGGGUUGUGUUAGGGGGUGGUAAACUAUACGAUAUAAAGAUUUUAACCGGCUCAAUCCCUCAUUUUAUUUCUGGAACAUCACGGCUCCAUUUAUUUUUAAGUUAAUGCAUGCAUUCUUAACAAACUUGCUACCCGGUGCCCCCUUUAUCUGGCCUCAAAACUCCAGGCUGUCAAUAUCAAAAAUAACCGUAUUGCAAUUAUUUUAUCAGCAUUUUAGACUGGAGUCUCUAACCGUUAACUUUUAAUCCCUAAACACCAAAUAUUUAGGCUAUGACAAAGUUUUGGGGCGAACGAUAGAUUUUAGACCCAUGGGGGCAAAUAGUUUUUGGGCAGCAAGGCACAAAGUGGAAUUAUAAUUCGCCAAAUAAAAAAAUUCCAAAUGGAGGCUAUUUUGUGGUGUUACCAAAUUUGUUGUAAUUUAUGCUCCUAAAUUAUAAUGUGGCCAGGGUAUAACUAACCAUUACGAUAAGUUUUGAAACAUGUUAGGGAAACGCUUCUUCCAAUCGAUUUACCAUCAUAUGGUACCGGGUAAUAUUAUUUCAUUAGUGAAGUGGAUUAAUGGAAAUAAGGUAAAAGCUUUUCCAAUAGUUUUUCUUUAUUACCUCCGUCCGGCUGCAGGUAAACGCGUGCCAAUAGGACAAAACCCUUAUCCAAAAGAUGCAGCUUGGAUAUUACAUUGCAGAAAUGUGAAUCCGCUGGCAGUCGCCACGGCACCCUCUCGCACGUUUCUUUUUGCACGUUUCUCGGUUGCUCCAUUACCAAUUACCCACAUAUAGCCAUAAUUUUAUUAUAAAAACGAUGGUUUACAAAAGGGGAAAGAGAACUGGACCCAAAUUAGGCAAAAGUGACCGAAUAGCGAAACGUUUAUAAAAAGGCGGGUUUGGCGAGCACCAGCUCAAGGCUAAUAUUGCAAAGAGCAUGCGAAUUACGUAAAACGUCCAGGAACGCUAUAUUGGUAACGGCAGGUUGGUUUUUGAGGUAAAAAUAAUUGUUUGUGCUGACCUUAUACGUAAUUUAACGUCUUUCCCAAAGUCUUCUAUUUCCAAACACGUUCCAAUUUUUAUGCGGGCCAUAAAUACUUUUCAAAACGCUAUUUUCCCCUAGCUCUUGUUUUGCCUAGGGCGUAUCUCCUUUGCCAUAUACCUCUUCGCAGGGCUUUUCUUCAAAAUUGGCGUCAAACCUGCGACCCCGAAGGCGGAAAUACGACAUGAACCUUUCCGUGUAAGCUGGCCCGCUAUCGCGACCGAGGAUUGUAUAAAUAAGCCUGACACCGACAAUAAUGUUAAACUUGCAUCUUCCGUCUUAUAAAAGCUCAAUAUAAUGCGCUGACAGCAAAUAUCUGGCGUAGCAUUUCUAGAACGUUUAAUCUUAUUUAAAUCCGGAUCAAAAGCACCCACAACUGCCGCAUGGCGUUUGCGUUCCGGGGCGUAAAUUUUGCGGUCCGUACAACCGGUGGUAUUUUGAGGAAAAACCAUUUAACAUAGAUUUGUUAGCAACAGUGGUCUGUGGUUUCUGAGGGGCUGACAAAGAGGUCCCACGACCAAAUAUGGAGGUUACUUGCGCAUCUACUUGCUUUUAUUCCCUCGUGAAGGCACCGUUAUUCUCGAACCAUUACCCUCGUAAGAUUUCCCACGUCGUUUGUAGCUUCAAUAUUACGAGCUGCGACGUUCUCCUUGUAGGCGCUUGUACGAAGACGAUAAAUACCUUUGCGAUGAUUAAUAUUAAGUAGCUUAGCAAAACCUCACAAUGUGGUGGUUCUAUAUAUUCCAGCUGGGGCUUGACCUGUCCAUUUCGAUAACUUUAUUAACCACACAACACGGCCAUGGCCACAGUUUUCUCCCGGUGGGCUCUCCAUUGACCCGGCCUCCAGUAUUUCCCCAAACUUGCCAGAAAGUUAGAUUCACAUUUGGCAAAGACCAAUCUUGCCAGACAAGCCCAGCACAGGCGGCAAAUACCCAUGAAAAACAGCAGCAUAAUCGGCGAUUAAGGAACAAAGAGCCCACGAACUGCUUCUAGUCGACCACUGUAAGCCAAACCUUAUAUACCCACAACCCCCAAGGAGAUUCUCAGGAUUCUGGUGUACUACAUUUCAAAAUGAAGCGUUGCCCUCGUUUCCAAAUUCCUGUUGCUGGUAAAAGUUAGCGACUGUUUAAAAUGGCAUUUCUGUUGCCUAGAAACACUCGUACCUAAUUGAGAUUUGAACGCCGUCCAUAUUUCGGCAAACUCAGUUAUAUCCGCUUCGGCCCAUUUUCAAGGUGAUUUUCGUUAAAGGUUUCUUUUUGUAAUGUGGUGAAAUUUUGCUUUUCGAAUUUGAUUUACUGAUUUUGCUGUCGUAAGGAUAGAAACCUUUAUCUGGUACGGACGACUUUUAUAAUAGGAAGAAUAGUCAAGGUUAGCGAGGCUAGCACAAAACCUGCAGUGACCCGUUUGUUACACAGGGACCGGGUUUCAUUAACUGGCCCAGUCCCGCCAUUUCUUUAUAGAAGAUUGUCAGAUGGGAGUGAUUUUGGCCGUCGAUAAUAUCGAACAUAUGUAAGGAAAUGGCGGCGAAAUACAGCUUUCCCCUGUUCGCCGAACCGGGGAACUGUAUCACCAGUCAGGGGAACCAAAGUGGCGACAGCUGUUUGGUCGCCCAAGCUUUCCAGGAUGUCGAAUGUUGCAAAAAAAUAGCAAUUGGUCUUCGUUCGCAAUUUUCCUAUUUGCCAGAUGCAGUUUGUCCCUCAACGACGUCAUUCAGCAAUGACGAGGAGCGACGUACAUACCCAAAACUUUUGAAGCCCGGUGGCACUCUGACUUUCAAGGUUUCUGGGUUGAAGGUUUGCAAUCAAACACGACCAUUGUCUCCAUACAUUUACUAGUCUACUUCUAACAGUCGAUUAAUACCCAUUUGCAGGCCAUCAAAUACGCGAUAUUUUUCAUAUUUGCCCUCGUACAGGCAGGGGUGUGCGUGAACACCGGGAGGUACAAAGUCGCGUGGUACCCUGCAACCACGCCAAUACGAGCUAAGGCACAAUCCACUCGUGGCGCAUCCAAAGAUACUUCCAAUCCCAGCCACAAUACCAGAUGAGCCACAGCACAGGUAGUGGGACAUAAGUGCAAGCUUUGCCCGACCGGAUUGCAAAAUUUCCGUUGUGGAUCCGCGUUUAUUAUCUUGCCUCCCGCUUCUUCGCAAACGUGCAGGCUGAUAUUAGUUGCGCAGAAUUUAUUAAUUUAGAGCCCAUUGCCACAGCUGAAGCUAGAAGACUGGUAAUAAUUUUACCCAUUUUUAUAUUGCGAAGCUACGCUGAGAUCUUUCUCACAUUUAUAUGGCCGAGAUAAUAUUUCACCUAGAACUAAGAGUAGUAAACGUCUGCCAUCAAUUUCCUCGAGAUUAUGUGCUCCCUUUCGAGUUUGCGAUUAUUUAUCGCCUUCCUUUUCGCCGUCCUCUCGACUUUAUCGAGUUUAUAUUAUAAUUCGUACCAUUUUGGAUUUUUGGUGGGAAGAAGCCCGUACGUUUUGCAAGGUAGAACAACCUUUCUCUCUUGUAGCAGUAAUAUAAUGCCGGUUUCGGUUCGACUGCCGCUUUUAAUUUAACCCACGACGCGUUGAUAAUAUCCACUAUUUUUUACAUUAUUAACUGCACUGGUUUUCGGGAGUAUUAUAUGGCGUACUAUAACUUGACUUGUAAAUUCCGGAAAACUCCGUUCUUGGUUUUGCGGGCAUGUCGCUCGGCCGAUACAUCCAAAAAACCCGCAGAUAUUUUUGGUAUGAUUCUGGCACUAUUUUGCGGCCAUUAAGUUUUCGGUGCGCUUCGAAAAGGCGCAUUUCGAGAAGAAUAGCGAUCGAAUAACUUGCGGAACCAGUGUUUAUUUCGAGAAAGUCGCCACGGUUAUAAAUAAUACCAUCCUUUGCUAUUAUCGGUUAGAUUGUGCAUUUUUUCUGGAUUCGUGGGAGAAAAAGGCCUGCCGGUAAAAUUCGUGUUUUUAUUCAGGUACCACCAAUUUGGCAAUCGCAGUUUCGUUCCAUUUUGGACACCAUAUCGAAUAAAACGGCCAAGCAGCAUUUCAUUUCGUUUAAACGCCAUUUUGCUAUUAUUAGGACCGGGAUAGACAAUUCGGUAAGGGCAGGGCGCCAUAGUGGAGGAAAUAAUAAAUAUAUGUUUAAGGUUAAAUUUCGUCGUAAUCAGGCGUUGGGAAAGGAUUCGUUUUAUGGCAGCACAGACAUUUGCUUUACAAGUAGAAGGCAGAACCUGGUAAUUGGCCCAGGGUGGAAUUCAGAGGUACCGUACGUCCCAUGGAAAUAACACAGAGCGGGGGUUUCCAAUUAAUCCUAUUACUGUUCUUUUCGUCCUAAUUACUGCAAAUGUACGCCAAAAGCCUGCACAGGCGCGCCGCUGACCGAGAUACGCAACAAAUUGGCUCCCAUUGGUCUGCUAAAUUUAUCGAAUAGAACGAUUAUAACGUGGGUGUCACUCCAGAAAGAUGUAAGUCCUCCAGCAAUGUCCCUCGCACGUUUUCGCCUUUUUUAAAGGUUCGAAUGGCCUAGGAGGGCCGGAACGAGGAAAUUAAUUCCUUAUACUGCUAAUAUUGCUGGGGCAAAAUUGAAGUUUUCGUAUAAUUACCCCGCAAACUGAGACUAUAAAUAAUAUCAGAAACGUCAUCAAAGCCUGUCUUAUUAGCCAGGCAGGUGGCACAUACACGCUUACCCGGGGAUUUCGAGCAUUUACUGGCCUUGGCCACAGCAAAACGAUUAAGGAUUAGAUCGCCACCUUUGCCUCAGACCUGUUACUAAGCUCUGGACUGUUUCGAUGGGCUCUGUGCAGCAGGUAAUAUAUUUAAUAGUUUUUUUGCUGUUUAUUUUACGUCUUCGUACGAAACACAGGAAUAUAUUUUAAUAUAUAAAACUUCUUUAAUUUUUUCAUCAAUCGUAAAUUAUCGUCUUUGGAGGAAACCACAAAUGUGUGCUUUUAAUGCAAAUCGGCACAGUAUUAAACCAAGACCACAAUUUUUAACGCUGGUUUUCCCUCCAUAAACCCUGGAACAGGUGUUUUGCAAAUACCUUAUUAGGAAUACUUCCGUUAUUAAUAUUACCUGAAUGUGGCUACCCCAUCCCGAACCCAUUAAUAGGCAAAAUAAAUAUGUCGCGGAAUAGCGUCGGAAUAUUUAAAAAUAAAAGGUCCCUUAUAUUUGUUAAACCCUUGUCCGUCUUUUGCAAAUAUUCCCAAACCACAUCCGUCCAUACUGCUGGGCCUGUGGAAUUUAUAAUUUCAAAAUUCGUCGGUUUCCAAGACGGGUUUUCGCUGGAAAUAUUAUGCUUUUGUUUCAAAUCCUCCCAAAACUAAACAACUCGGGAUAUUAUUAUUGGGAAGACAGGGUAACCAGGGGCGGCGGCUAUAGUCCAUUGGCAAAACUGGAAUAUAUAAGCGAUGUCGGCCCAUUUGCCUCCGUUACGUUGGUCGAAUUUAAUACCGACGACCAGCCGGAUAUGGUUACGGAACGGUUUCGGUACCCAAUUGUCAAUAGGUUUUAACGCGACAAUAUUUGUGUUUAUAUAGACACCACCUUUAAUAUAGAAAAAUAAAUAUCGAAGUAAAUCGGAUUUUAUACCAACGUUAGGCAAGGAGUUGAAAUUUGAAACGAUGGCCUCGUCAUAUCCAAAAUAGCGGUUAACAAAGUCUUUCCCGCCAUUAGGACCAACUAGAAUAUUACAAAUAUUCAGUUGAAACCCUAGGAAUUAAUAAGUUUGUAGUACAAAUACCCCAGCUAACUGCAUUUAUUAUAUGUAAUCUGGGUUUAUGGCCAGCCAGGUAGCCGUCUCCUUCAAAAUGACUGGCUUUACCUAAUCCUUUUUACCCCAGAUUUUCGGGAAUAUAAUCUGCCAAAUAUUCUGAGGAAUAAGGUGGUCCUGGUGUGGCUUGGCCCAGUUAUAUUUUGCGGAAACAUUGUCCCAAUUGCGGUCUUUUUGCCGGGUGAAGCCAUGGUCUGGUAAACCGGGCCGUUGCAAGAUUAAAAUAUUGUACAAUAGCAAGCAUAUUGUUAAUAUUACCAUGGAUAGACCUGUUAAAAGGCGGGUGCGGUAUCGCGGUCGUAUAACGUACUGGAGGGCGUAAUUGCACAGAGACGAUAUUGAUUUUGAAUCGGCAAUACCAUACAUUUAAAAUGCGAGAGAAUUAAGUGAGGAUGUUACGCAAGGCCUAUUUGCGACCAGUAAUAGCUAUUGCACCGCUGGAUAAUAGUAAUUAUGGCGUUACAUAUUAAAUGUUUAGGUUAAAAAGCAUUUUGGCACCCGUACAACCAGCCAGCAUUAUAAAUUAGGACUGAGGGUAAUAUAUAAGUUCAAUUGCAACUUUUGCUGUAACAGCCGCCAAUAAGGCCAAGAUUUCCCUUUAAAUUAGGUAUAUGGCGCCUGGUUGCAGGUUUGGAUGAACUUAAGAUACCGUAAGCCGGGAUCCGGGGUCCAGCUUCGUUUAAAGAUAUAAAACGGCCAAAUACCGCCUUUUCGCCUGAAGAAAAUGCAAGCAAAUAAACCUCCGGAUUUGUUAUAAACACCAGUUUAAAAUGCUGCUUUCGAUUAUUUUCACUGCUCUUAUUCCUAUAAGCAACGCGUUUGGAGGGCCUUUUAGCCUUUGUAUUUCAAACCCACCUUUGCAGCUCGUUGCUGGCAAAUCCGUAAUACAAACCAUAUAUAUGCAUUAAACCCCCCUCCCUCCGUCAUUAAUGCAGCAAUACUAACCAGAUUUUAUAGCAACCAUACCCCGGCCAGGAAAGGCUGCCGCGCGGCCAUUUAUUUUGCAAAUCCUGCCUUUCCACCAAUUAUAUACUUUUAUAAUUCAGGAUCCUGUUAUUUUGGAUCGGAAAACGCCAGUUUCCAGGUGCCCAUUAAUGUGCCGAAUGGUAAUACAUAUGUGACCUGGUCAGACCCGUUUACCCCUUGCCUCUUUUCUAUUUUACGUUAUAUUAAUAAAAAAGCUGUAUAGGACGUGCGGGGCGGCAGCACAUAUAUAUAUGCGCGCUAAUAUUUCGGAGGGACGCGGUACCCUUCGAGCUCCCCAGUUACAAAACGGGACUAUUUCUUGUCAAAAGUGGUCCCAGAAUAGUAACAAGACAUUGUCGGCGUCUUUUCACUUUGUGGAAAGUGGUUCGACCACAAAUACAGGCAGAAGCACAAUUUCGAGUACAAGUACAACGUCAAACAUAACGUUAAACAUAACGCCAAACACAAAUAUAAUUGUAACCACAGCCGCAAGCCCCGCGAGUUCUGUGGUUACCAGGGAGGAUCAGUCCAUCCCACGCUCCAAUUUAUCCAAUACCGUGAGCCCCAGCGCUAACGGCAAUGGUUUUGUUCAGGUUAGCACCGCUUUUCGUCUUGCAGCCCCUAAUAUCGCUCGAGGUUUGGUUAUAAUAAUUCGAACCGUUACAACUUUAUUUACAACUAUUAUAUUAUCCGAAUCGCGUUGAGGAGUCUUUAAUUAUAUAUAACCUGUUUUUCGGUUGAUUUUUCACCUUAAACAUUUAUGCGAUAUUUGUCGUGGGGGAUUUUCCUAUUAUUUAGGUGUGCAGUCCGAAAUAACUUUGUUGUGGAUAUAUGCCUUUUCGUACCUGCUGGACUCGCAAUUUUUAGCGCCAAUAUAAUCCUAAGCUUUUUACGGUAUAUGGGGUAUGAAUGAAUCUUAGCCAAUUAUAUUGCAAAGAUUAUAAGUGGGCUGGUUCCAACCUAUUAAAGUUAAAUUAUAUGCAAACGCUUUAUUGUAAUACCAAACUGUCGGGUUUAUUUCCGCUUCUUCAGCCCACCGGUAAUAAUUUCCCCGCUCCUGAAACAAUACGGUAAUCCGGCCACAAAAACAAACCUGAUUAUUUUGGGGAAGCCAUUACAAAUAUCGCAAUUUAGGGAAAUAAUAAAAAAGCCUACGGAAAUAACCUAAGCGUGAUAAAUUUAAUAAAAUGGAGAUAAGAUGAAGGCGUUUUUAUUGUUCCUAUCUGCAAUUUGAAGGAAACCAGGAAAAGGUCUGCUCCUUCCCUCCAGGGGUGCCAGAACAAACAACAAAUAGAACAAACAGAACAAAUAAAACAAACAGAACAAAUAGAAUAAAUAGAAUAAAUAGAAUAAACAGAACAAAUAGAACAAAUAGAAUAAACAGAAUAAAUAAAACAAAUAGAACAAACAAAAUAAAUAGAACAAAUAGAAACCUAAUCGGCAUUAAAAUCCUCCGUGGAAGUAAAAUUUCCAAUUGCAUUUUCCACUGCUGUAAGUUUGCAAUAACAAAACUUAACGUUUGCGAAUCUCCUGCUGCCCACAUUAUUUUCGGGCGGCGUUUAUUUCAUCAUCGAUUCCAGAGCCAAACUUGUUCCGAAAAAUUAACCUGUUCCAUACCCUUAAUCCUUUAUCUCUCUUUUUUUUAAUAUAGCCUAUAACGUAUAUUCGCGGCCAUUUAUUAUUAUUAUUAUCUUUGGCGGAAACGAAAUUAACAACUAAAAUAUCGCUCCGUUUUAGGUUCUUAAAUAAAUCUUUGUCAAAGGCUUUGGUGAUUUUGGAUUGCGGGCACCUUUUUAAUAUAUAAUCUAACUAUUUUACCAGGAUAUGUCUUUUUGCAUAAGGAUAUUUUUCGUUAAGGCUGUCCAAUUUAACACCCAAAAAAUAACUAACAGAUAUUAUAAUUGUACCUGUAACAUUAUCUGCUUCAGGGUUAUUAGGAUCAUCCCCCAAAAUAAUUUGGUCGCUUCCGUCAGCUGGUACUGUUUUGUUAAUAAAACCUAGUUCGCGUCGAUCAACCUCAAAAUCCGCAUUAGUUAACCUAAAUCGAUCAAACUUUUUAUAAUCCGCACUAAUUAAUUUAAAACUAACGAUCCUGGUUACGCGUCUGUAUUUCGAACGAUAAACCGAAAAUCGCUUUAACAUUUCUCGAUCGCCGUAGAAGUUGUUAUCCAGAUAUUCCAGGGUUUGGGGACAGGUUCCAAUCCAUUUGCGCGCAGAAUAAAGGAGUUCGCUCGGAAUUUCCUCGGAAUUUUCGUGGGUAAGUAGGAAUUCCAGCCUGAAUUUCAUAUUAGCGAAAUCGCAGCCAUGCAAUACGCAGUCCUGCUAAAAUGCUCGCCAACCAGGCCUAAUCAAAUUUCGAGGAUUGAUUUUUUAAUAAAAAAGUGGCCAAAUAUUAUCUUGCUCCUUAAAGGAAUUAUCCGCGGACGAAUUCUUUUUCUCGUUUAUAACCUUUCUUAUAUCCAAAUCCUUUUUUAUAUUUAUAACCUUUUUUUGCCUUGUCGGCUGCUUUUCCGCAGGUGCGGCCUUUUCCUUUUCUCCAUUAUCUUCGCUAUUAGGAAUUGGCAACUUGUUUUUCCCCUUUAUUUGCUUUUUCGUAAAUACGGGCUUUUUAUCUUCUCCGUUAUCGCUAUUAGAUAUCCUUAUAUUAUUUAACUUCUUUAUUACUUUCGGUAGAUUUUUCGCAGGUGCGGGCUCCUUUUCGUCUUCAUCUCUAAUAUUAGAAAUUGGCAAUUUACCAUUCACCUUGGUUUGCCUUUUCGUAGGUAUGUGCGACGCCCUUUCUCCACCAUUAUUAUUAUCAGAUACCUUUGUAACCUUUGGUUUAUUUUCCCCAUUUAUCUGUUUAGGUAUAGUAGCAGGUGCGGAAUCCUCCGCGUCUUUACCUCUGCUAUUAGGAUUUAGCAAUUUAUCUUUCCCCCUUUGUUUCUUUAUCGAUUUUGGCUGCUUUUCCGCAAAUGUGGGUUCCUCCUCCUCUUUAUCGCUUAUCUCUUUUUGAAAAUAUUUUAUAUUUAAACCACUAUUUUCAGGGACGUUAUAUUUUUCCUUUUUGGCUAGCGUUCGAAAACUUUUAACAGUUUUGGCGAAUUUUUUCGUAUUUCCAACCCAAUUAAUUAAAUAGGGGGACGUUUGCUCGGUUUCGUCUGCUGUAAAAUUUAUAUCGGGUGCUAAUUAAUUAAUAAACGGAAUUAUAUUUUGGUUAAGGACUGCAUCUCCCGUUUCGAAAAAGCGACGGAUUUCGCGAGCAACAUGCGCCAAAUUUCGCUGUCCGGGGGACCUUUCUUCCUCGUUUCUACCGACUUUGUCCUGUCUCUUUUUUUAUCUUGUUGCGGGUAUAUUAAUAUCUAACAAACGGAUAAAUAAAUAAUGUAAUAAGAUGUGAAGCUUUUAAAAUAUUAUGGAAACGACAGGAGCCUCAGUAUUAAAUAAAUAGCAAUAGAGCCACAUAUAAACCAGGAAACGGGUAUUGGCAAAUCGUUUCCCCGAACCUGGACUUAGGGCAAAACCUGCCGAAUAUUGGGCAACCAUAUAUUAUAUCUAAAACCAAAAAUAAAUAACAACCCCAGCUUUAGCCCUUUUUAAUGGAAGAAAAAUUCCAAAAUAAAUAUUAUUAAAUUAUAUGCGGUAUUUGUCAUAGGGUUGCUGGGCUUCUGGCCGUAUAUUAUUUUUCUUUUCAAAACCCUACGACUGUCCCAAAUUUUAAUAACAAGUUUCGAACGUUGGAUAUAAUACCCUCUUGCAAUAAAGGGAGCCUUUAAAAUUACGCGCCUCGAGUUGUUAUUAAUUUUUGGAUUUAUUGGCUGUAAUAUUUUCGUUCUGGCGUUUCGUGUUUCGAGCGCCGCUAAUUUCGAAAAGCGGUCGGCAAUUGUUUCGGUUAUUAAUAUAAUACCGCUGUUUUUGGGGGGUAACCCUAACCCGUUUUUCGACCUAAUUGGCGUUUCCAUUGGUAGCUAUCACCUCAUCCAUUACUGGAUUGGCGGAGUUGCAAUCCUGGAGGGCCUAAUCCAUGCGGGGAUAUUAAUUUAAUCUGGUGGUAAUAAGUUGAAAAUAUUAGAAAUCCUGGUAAGUUACCGCCCCCUUUAUCUAUUACCACGUUGAUAAAACAGGUUGCAACUUCCUCCAUCGCAAUCCUUUUAACUUCUAUUUGGAUUAUCCGUCGAUACCGAUACUGGUUGUUUUUGAAGCUGCAUUUCGUUUUAGUUUUAACAUUUCUUGCAAGUAUUUUUUGGCACAUCUUUUUCCAAAAUUAGGUUGUAAAUAAAAUACCCGCUUUUGUGGGAGGCGCGUUUUGGAUUUUAAAGCUCUUAUUUUGGUUUUUCCGGAUAGUUUUCGCGGCCUUUGCAGCUAUUUAUACGCGGCGCCAAAAGAAGGGGGCAACUUAUAUACAGGUUUUAUAUUUUCGAUCCAUUAAAACAUUUCCUGGCUAUUAUUUUUAUAUAUAUUUUUCGAGGGGGUUUACAAGUAGUUUCCCGAUAUUUGCCAUAUGGUAUUUAAUAAAAUCGCUGGGCAGGGGAAACGAAAUUGGCUUCCUUUUGUCGGAAAAUAAAAAAGUUUUCAAUUAUUCCAGUUUUAAAAUAAGAAAAGGUUUGCGCCUGGACGGCCUAUACGGACGAAACAUCGACCUUUGGAACUACAAAUCAGUAAUAUUGGCGGCCAAAGGUAUGGGUAUUGCGGGUAUUCUUUCAUCUGCCCUGUUCUUGUUCGACCGUCACAAUUUAAAUACUAUGGCGAAAAAAGAGUCGAUAAGUUUUGAUAAUAACGGUGCGAUUCGGUACAAGAAUCGAAUCUUCCGUAACCGAACCCGUAAAAUAAUCCUUAUUUGGAUACUUGAGGAUAAUUGCCAGGAAGACUGGGCGGCUGCGCAAAUUCGUAAUUUACAGAAGAUUAAUAUAUAAGCGGUAUAUAAUAACUUUAUAACCUAUUCUUCCAAACUAACUAUCGAAGAUAUUUUACUUUUGGUGCAUUUACCCAUCCGAGGAAACGAACGAGGCCCUUUUCCAAAUCGACAAAUACUGGUAAUAUUAUUAUUCCAAAAAAGGUUAAGAUGAGAGAUUCUUCAGGGGCGUUAUUUCCCAAACUACCCGAUCACCGGGCAAAUAUAUCGUUAUAAAUAAAUACCAUAUUGUACCAAAUUCGAUUUUGCCCAAGAUUAACGUAUGAUUUAAUAUGUGGGGAUUUUAGUUUUACCGGCACCGCAAGGAAGGUUAUAAUUAAAUUAAGCAGAUUAGAUAAUCCAAUCCGCUUUGUAAAAUUAAAUUAUCGGCCAGGAUAUAGGAAAGGCAGAGAUUUUAAACUGAGAUUGCAAAAGCAGGGCGACGUUAGGUAGAAAACAAUUAAAAAAACUAAUAAAAUAAAUAAACGGUUUGCGUAAAUGCUCUUUUGCUGUUUGUUUCGGGUAAUUUGCGAAUGUUUUGCUAUAUAAUUCGGUAGAAAUACUCUCAAUAAUCUAGAGAGUUAAUGGACAGUUGUAUUUUUGUAAGACUCGCUUACAAUUGUAUCCCGCUCGGAUUAAAAGUACGAUCCCCGCCACGGGCGCUAGACGAUCCCGCACUGCAGGAAGGAAUAAAAACGUACUAAGCGCUAGUUUUCUGCAAGGAUAAUCCAAAAAUGGAUACGGCGCUAAAAUGGUUUUUUGCAAAAAGACGAUAAAAGCAGACAAAUGUUAAAAUGGUUGCAGGUGACCAGGCAGGGAUUUUUAUACAUCCAGUAACCGCGCGUUAAUUUAACGCGCUCGCUUAUCCCAAAAGCCUGGAUGUGGGCUACCGGUAGGCGAGUUUUAAAUAUUUAUUUGUAUCUGCUUGCCCGAAAUAUCGAUUGGUAUCCGAUAUUUAAAGCUACCCACAACUAAACCCAUAUAUAUACACAUUUAUACCACAAUGCGGCCACGUGCUCGAACCGUAUCGCAAAUAAAAAAAAGAAACUUCGCAACGCGACGGGCAGGACUCGUUAACAAAGCAAGACAACUUAACCAGAAGACUGGUGCCAAAAUUGCAAUCCUAGGCAUUUACAACGGAAAAUUCUUUUACUACGACAGUACCAGCGUCCUAUCCGACCUAGGGAUUAUGGAUAAGAUCCGAGGAGAAAAGGUCGAAUUACCUUUAGCAAAAAUAACAAACGAGUUUUAUUUAAUUUUAAACACCCCUAUUUCCCAAGCCUUUGACGCGACAAAUUAAUCGGACCAUUUUGCAACUUUCGACAGCCCAUCCCUGGAAUUAUUAGCCGAUAUGGAUUUUUUUAAAAAACCAGCCGAAUUAAAUCCAGCAAAGCGAGAGCCAGAAAAGUUAAAAAAACCUGAAUAGCCUAUUUUGGAAGACACCCAUUUUAAUUUUUUUACUAUAUUUUCAAACGAGAAUUACAGUCCGGUUGCAGACAAAUUGCCAAAGACCCAGGAUUUGGAUUCUAAUAUAAUAAAUUGGGGCUUGGAUUUUACGGUAUAAAUCGGUAAAAGACGAAUUUAUUUUAUAUAAUAUUAAUUUGCCUUAAUGCACAAUUAUUUCUCUUAAUAUUAACAUGGUUGCAAAAUUCGGACUGACCUGGGAGCCGGGAAUGUGGAAAAAAGUGCCAUGUUCCCGGACUUUGGCUCUUAAAAUUUAUAAAAUAUAAAUACUUGACUUUUACGCAAUAGAAAGCUGUAAUAAUUGUCAAAAUACAACCUACAUUCACGUUUUAUAUAUUAACAAACCUCGUAAUCUGUUAUUUUUGGGUUGAACAAAUAAUGCGUAUAACGCUUAAUGGCACCUUUAUCGGCCCUGUAAGAUAUAUGCGUGGUUAUUUUGGUAGAAACGACCCAGGUUUUGUGGACCACGCCAAUAUAUACCUCCUCCCUCCUAACGGGCGAUUAAAGGGUAUUAUUUUUAACAGUGAUGGGAUAUAUAGUCCGUCUCAAAAAAUAGGAAAUUACAGCCCCAAAUACCCGAUAUUAUCUGCUAUACCCGGGGAUUUUGUUGCUUUGCGCUACCAAGAAAAUGGUUAUAUCUCAUUUCCAGGUAAUGGUCCUCCCAAACUAGAAAACCGUGGAACAAUUUAUAUUUAUAAUAUAAACGAACCCGAGGACAAUUACAAGUUUUUGGACAUUUAUCGGAAUUGGACAGCGGGCCGGGAUAAGGGAAGACUUAUCGCGACACGUCCUUUUAACAAUAGUUAAUAUUAUUAGAUUAAUAACGGCGAUAUUUCGGUGAAGCGAUAAAACCACGUGAGGAAGGUUGCCAAUAACCCACAAAACGCAGAUCUUUGGUGUUAAGCCGAUAUGCGGUUUCCGCGUAACCUGCCCAUAUUAGGAAUUUAUACAUUUUACUGGGUCUGGGAUUGGCCUACAAUUACGGAUAAAUUCGAGGUUGCAUUACCGCAGUUAUAUAUUUUAUGCCUGGAUAUUGAACUUAGGGCAGAAGGGAUUUUAAAUGAAGGUCCCAUUAUAUUUAUAAGCGACCAGGACCCCAAUAACAGGGCAAUUUUGGAAUAGAUGCAAAUAUAAGAGCGUAUAUUUCGCGCUGCCGAUAUAUAUGUAAAAUUUAGUUGGGCCGCGCCCGAGAGCCGCGUAUGAGAUUGAGAAAAGCCCGCGACAGGUCUUGCUAAUAAACAGGUUUUUGAUCUGAUCCAGGAUUGUGGUAUUCGAAUUGCGAUAAAGCCCAUGGAAAACCGUAUAAUAUCCAAAUUAAUUUGUUAGCCAACCCGAAAUGGAACUUGUUAAUAUUAUCCAGGUACCGCUUUCUGCAUUUAUUUAUAAUCCCUUUGUGGGACGGGGGCGGUACCCGACUUUUGUGAAAAAACUUAUGCGUGUUUUCCGGAAAACCGGAUGUCGUCCGCACCUAAGUGAAAACCAUGUUCAAAAUCUAGUCGACGCCAAGACCCUCUCGUAUAUUAAUAGCAAAUUGCAGAUGUUAGGGGAGGAUUUACUGGCGACAAUUAAUAUAAACGGAAAUUAUCCUAGCAUUAUGCUAGAACAACGUAUAUUUUGCAUGGAUGGCCAACAAAGAACCGCAACUACCGAGAAAAUGUUUGGGUUGGAAUAUAGGUGGACCGUGCGAUUAUAUUCUGCAACGAGAGGUAGCCCGCAAAAUCCAAAUCCUACAUUCUCGUUAAAUUACGGUGCUAAUAAGUGCUGCCGACAGGUUUGCGGCAAAUAGUUUGCCGCCAAAUGCCGGCGUUUUCCCGCCAAAUAAAGUUUUCCGACGGGAAUAUUUAUUACCACUUCCGCAAAACGCAAAAGACCAAAUCUUGGAAAAUAAUAUAAAAUUACAGGGUGGAGUUUAUAUAAUAUAAAGAGAAGAUUCUGAACCAGUUUAUCCAGCACCAUUUGUCGGGAAUAACUGAAGGAUAUAUAGUUGUAAAAUCUUUUAUAAAAGCAUUGGACCUUUUUUUACCAUAUCCCGGAUUAUUGGAGGGGUUGGAACUUGCUAAUUGGUAUAAGUACCUGGCUUUGCAUUAGGACGAACCGAUCGUUUAUUUUUUAAGCGACCAUUUAUAUUCGAUAUACGAGCUUAUCGUUAAAGGAAUCGCGGAGGUAAGGAAGUAUUGCGAUAUAACGACGGUCCGUUAUUUCGCAUUUCGAUACCCAGCAAAUAAAAACGAUGCAGUUUUUAUUUGAAAGAAAUUUGAGAAUGGUAUAUUAUUUCCUGGACUGACAGAUUAACAGAGCCGUUUUAAGAUCCUGGACAAUAUUCUUUCGAUAAAAAUAAUAAUCCCUAGUUUAAAAACUUUUUAUAAAAAUAUAAAGUAUUUUGCGAUCGGGGCCAGGAUUAUUAAGGAAUAGCUUUUUAAUAAUAAUUUGCGGGGUGUAUGGAACCUGCCCGAAAAACUGUUAUAAACCCUGCCCACAAAUCCCAUAAUAAAGGCAGUUAAUGGACACGUGCCGGUUUUUAAUAUGGACCAACAAUUGGCAUUGAAAAUAUUGUUUUUUAUUGCGAUCCGCUUAUUUCCAUAUCUUUCUUAUAA
rnacentral:sRNA from 1 species